CUCCUACGGGGCGCAGCAGUGAGGAAUAUUGGUCAAUGGUCGGGAGACUGAACCAGCCAAGCCGCGUGAGGGAGGAAGGUACAGAGUAUCGUAAACCUCUUUUGUCAGGGAACAAAGGCGGGGACGUGUCCCCGGAUGAGUGUACCUGAAGAAAAAGCAUCGGCUAACUCCGUGCCUGCAGCCGCGGUAAUACGGAGGAUGCGAGCGUUAUCCGGAUUUAUUGGGCGUAAAGGGAACGCAGGCGGUCUUUUAAGUCUGA
rnacentral:rRNA from 1 species